rnacentral:rRNA from 1 species
AGCGAACAGGGAAGAGCCCAGCACCGAAUCCCGCGGCUGGUAACGGACGCCGGGAAAUGUGGUGUUAGGGAGGAUCCGCUAUUCCGAGAUCGCACGGCAAGCCCAAGUCCUUCUUGAACGGGGCCACUUACCCAGAGAGGGUGCCAGGCCCGUAGAGGCUGCCGUCGGUAGCGGGAGGAUCUCUCCUCAGAGUCGGGUUGCUUGAGAGUGCAGCCCUAA